UAGAUUUUUGUUUUCAAAUGUAGACUGGAGAUAUAACAAAUGAUGAACUAUUUUUUUAUUUUUAAUAUCACAAAAAUAAUAUAUCAGAUUGUUGCAGAAAAAUAUACUGUUAGUUGCUAUUGUCAGCCUAUAACAUAAAAAUUGUAUUUAAACUUACUUUGCGAAGGAGUAUAUUGCAUGCUUACUAGGACUAUAUUGUAUUGGAGGCCCACAUACUUUCUUUCAGCAAAUAUGACACUUGGUUUUCCUAUAACGUUGAAACAGAUUACUGUUUCUUUGAUUGAGCACUAGGUAAACUAGAUUCUUGUGUUAGGUUUUGUACAGACAAACAAACAAAAAA